UCCUACGGGAGGCAGCAGUGGGGAAUAUUGCACAAUGGGCGCAAGCCUGAUGCAGCAACGCCGCGUGAGCGAAGAAGGUCUUCGGAUCGUAAAGCUCUGUCCUUGAGGAAGAAGGAAGUGACGGUACUCAAGGAGGAAGCCCCGGCUAACUACGUGCCAGCAGCCGCGGUAAUACGUAGGGGGCAAGCGUUAUCCGGAAUUAUUGGGUUUAAAGGGUGCGCAGGCGGGAGAUCAAGUCAGCGGUAAAAUGUCGGGGCUCAACCCCGGCCGGCCGUUGAAACUGGUUUU
rnacentral:rRNA from 1 species